GGGGGAAACGUCACCGGGUCCGCCUCGCACCGGGAAAGAUGCUGCACACUUUUGCUGCCCGAUAAGAGAGGGUUUUCCUUUUUUUCCUCACGCGGGGCGGCGGUUAACACGCGUGGACAGCACGAUUACACACGUUUCGAUCCUUGCGAAAAUUGCGAUAAAACACUCGAGUUUUCUGCCACGGUACACAAAAACACCACCGCACACCGCACACCAGUUCAGGUAACGCAGAUGAAACACGUCGUCAGUGGUUCUUCCCUCCCGGCACUAGUACGGAAAAACGAUCCCAUAGUAUGUUUGUCGUGAUUUUUUUUUCUUCCAGCUCCAGCUAUUGUAUGUCCCUUUUGUUCCGUUUUUUUUUCGUUCGCGUUCCCACCCGGUACUACGAAUAUGACCGUGACCGUGCGUGUGUAUUGUUUCUCACCCGUUUUCCAAACAACACGGAAAAUGUUGUUGUGGAACACGCAAUCGGUAUGGAAGUGGUUGAGAGAGGGAGAGGGAAACAGGAUGGAAGCGGGCAACUGUCAAAGUUGCUCUCGUUUUGUUUUUCGCCCCAGAUGGUUGUUUUCGCCCUGGCCGAAUGGGGCGGAAUUGGAUGUUGUUGUGCAAAGAAAAACCGUUGAUAUUUUAAGGGAGUUUUGGAAAGAUUUUUGAAAUUUAGAGUGUUUCACUCGCGUCGGGGCAUUUUGUUCAGAAAUACUAAACUCGAAUUUGAUACCUAAAUUUAUUAUAGAAUACUCUACACAGUAAUGUAUGCAUCAUUUCCUCGAGGUUUUAGAUUAAAUUAUCCCUGAACUGUUCUUAACCUGAAAAUAACUUGAAGGCCAUUGGAAGUACUAAGUAGUAAUUUUGUAGCUUUCCCGUAUUCUAUCAAGAUCACACACUUUCCUAUUCUUUAGACUACGAUUGAAAUCGACUAGAAUCGCAAGACCCGUUGCAUUGAAUUAAGGAUCAAUCCGAUGUCGGAGGGUCUGAACGCGAAAAGAGGCCGAUCCUGAAGCGUAGCAUCGGUUCAAGGUGAAGGUCUUGCGGUGAUACAAGUGUUUAGAUACCUACACGCAGGUGUCAACCGCACCUGGAAUGUGCUAGUCAUCGACCCAGAUCUGCUGGAGAUCGAUUGAAACAGUAGUAGGAUCCUCAGAAACGAAUUUGACAAGAUCUUCAAAGACUUUCACUACAACAUACUCAACCAUAAGUGGCCCAAGCAGAAUAAGACAAAGGAAGCAAAAAACGAAACCAAAAGUACGAUUUAAAAUAGUAUAAGUUUUAAAUAUGUUAUAGCCUUUAUUCGUCAGGGUGUUUUCCGACCAUUCAUAUUGCAUUUGGGGAAAUAUCGGCGUCAUCCAUGUACGGGGCAUCUUUUAAUUCUCUCUCCCUCUCUCUCGUUCGUUGCACGCUUCACGAUUCAACCCUUAUCGCGACGCUAAACUUAUCAAAUCCUCAGAAUUUUCUUCUUUAUUUCACCGCACUGCAACUACACUAUACAAACAAUCGGUAGCCCCACUCUCAUCACAGCGGACCAGUAGUUUCCCCGGUUUUCCUUCUCUCGCUCUCUACAAAACUGAUGAUUUGAUCCUGUGCUUUGUGCUUGACUUGAGGAAUAUUUAACACGAGAUGCGAAUAUGCCAUGCCAGUCCCUCUCGCUCGCGGUACAAAAAGCGUUUUAAAGCAAUCUCUAGAUUUCCGUUUGCGCUCCACUCUAUCUGCAUGCUUUGGUUUCUAACUAAAGCUGUUUUAUGUGUGUUUUGCUGUGUUUUUUUUUAUUAUUUACGCUAUUGGAUGGUCCUUCUUAAUAUGUGCGAUCACUCUCACCGUUUAACGUUACCUUUUAAACCCCAUUCCAGUAGUCCAUCGAGCCAAUUUUCCAUUUCGAUAGCAUGAUUUUGCAUAAGCGUACGUAUGGGGAAGAUGAGGCUUUUGAGGCUAACGGGGAAAUGUGAUUUCACGGCCAUUUAUAUUUAUGGAGUAUUGUUUUUUUUUCCUGCAGGGAACCAAUGAGUGCACGAGUGUUCGAUUGCUUCGAAAAAAUUGCUUCCACACCAUCAUCAUCGUCAGUGCGAUGUGCAAAACACGGUGCAACAAAAAAGGGAUCUGAUUAAGCCCUUUCCGUACUGCGAUGCAUAUAUAUGUGGGUGUACGUACGUAUGUAUAUGUAUAUGGAUAUAUUCUUUUCUUAAAUACAUGCACGAUGCAAGAGCUGCUGUAUUUGCGCCACCGUCGGGUUUCAGUUCCAAUUUGCAUAGCAUCCGUCCUUCAGAGAGCGUGCCACCGUGGUCGGUGCGUGGUUUCCUUUUUUUU